AGCGAACAUUGGCGGUAGGCUUAACACAUGCAAGUCGAGCGAGGCGUAAUAGUCGAGCGGCGAACGGGUGAGUAACACAUGGGAAUCUACCCUGAAGUGGGGGAUAACGUUCAGAAAUGAACGCUAAUACCACAUAAUCCACAUUGGGAAAGCGUUGCAGCGCUUUGGGAUGAGCCCAUGGCUGAUUAGCUAGUUGGUGAGGUAAUGGCUCACCAAGGCGACGAUCAGUAGCUGGUCUGAGAGGAUGAUCAGCCACACUGGAACUGAGACACGGUCCAGACUCCUACGGGAGGCAGCAGUGGGGAAUCUUGCGCAAUGGGGGCAACCCUGACGCAGCCAAACCGCGUGAGUGAUGAAGGUCUUCGGAUUGUAAAGCUCUUUCGGCGGGGACGACGAUGACGGUACCCGCAAAAGAAGUCACGGCUAACUUCGUGCCAGCAGCCGCCGCCG
rnacentral:rRNA from 1 species